UACGGGGGGGGCAAGCGUUGUUCGGAAUUACUGGGCGUAAAGGGCUCGUAGGUGGCCAACUAAGUCAGACGUGAAAUCCCUCGGCUUAACCGGGGAACUGCGUCUGAUACUGGAUGGCUUGAGAUUGGGAGAGGGAUGCGGAAUUCCAGGUGUAGCGGUGAAAUGCGUAGAUAUCUAGAGGAACACCGGUGGCGAAGGCGGCAUCCUGGACCAACACUGACACUGAGGAGCGAAAGCCAGGGGAGCAAACGGG
rnacentral:rRNA from 1 species